UACGUAGGGUGCGAGCGUUGUCCGGAAUUACUGGGCGUAAAGAGCUCGUAGGCGGUUUGUCGCGUCGUCCGUGAAAACCUGGGGCUUAACCCUGGGCGUGCGGGCGAUACGGGCAGACUUGAGUACUGCAGGGGAGACUGGAAUUCCUGGUGUAGCGGUGAAAUGCGCAGAUAUCAGGAGGAACACCGAUGGCGAAGGCAGGUCUCUGGGCAGUAACUGACGCUGAGGAGCGAAAGCAUGGGUAGCGAACAGGAUUAGAUACCCCCGUAGU
rnacentral:rRNA from 1 species